CCUACGGGAGGCAGCAGUGAGGAAUAUUGGUCAAUGGACGGGAGUCUGAACCAGCCAAGUAGCGUGAAGGAUGACUGCCCUAUGGGUUGUAAACUUCUUUUAUAAAGGAAUAAAACGAGGCACGUGUGCCUUUUUGCCUUUACUUUAUGACUAAGGAUCGGCUAACUCCGUGCCAGCAGCCGCGGUAAUACGGAGGAUCCGAGCGUUAUCCGGAUUUAUUGGGUUUAAAGGGAGCGUAGAUGGUUUGUUAAGUCAAUUUUGAAAGUUUGCGGGUUAACCGUAAAAUUGCAAUUGAUACUGGCAGUCUUGAGUACAGUUGAGGUAGGCGGAAUUCGUGGUGUAGCGGUGAAAUGCUUAGAUAUCACGAAGAACCCCGAUUGCGAAGGCAGCUUACUAAACUGUGACUGACAUUGAUGCUCGAAAGUGUGGGUAUCAAACAGGAUUAGAUACCCGAGUAGUC
rnacentral:rRNA from 1 species